UACAGAGGGUGCGAGCGUUAAUCGGAAUUACUGGGCGCAAAGGGCGCGUAGGUGGCCUUCUAAGUUGAACGUGAAAUCCCUGGGCUCAACCCAGGAACUGCGUCCAAGACUGGGAGGCUUGAAUCCGGGAGAGGGAUGCGGAAUUCCAGGUGUAGCGGUGAAAUGCGUAGAUAUCUGGAGGAACACCGGUGGCGAAGGCGGCAUCCUGGACCGGUAUUGACACUGAGGCGCGAAAGCCAGGGGAGCAAACGGG
rnacentral:rRNA from 1 species